GCACUGGUCGCCGCCCGCGUCUCCUCUGGGCUCUCCUCGCGUCACCGGGGCCAUGGCGUUCGCCGAGACCAACCCAACGGCAUCCUCCCUCCCCAACGGCGACUGCGGCCGCCCCAGGGCGCGUCCCGGGGGGAACAGGGUGACGGUGGUGCUCGGCGCGCAGUGGGGCGACGAAGGCAAAGGGAAGGUGGUGGAUCUGCUGGCGCAGGACGCCGACAUAGUGUGCCGCUGCCAGGGAGGAAAUAAUGCUGGCCAUACAGUUGUUGUAGAUUCUGUAGAAUAUGAUUUUCAUCUUUUACCCAGUGGAAUAAUUAAUCCAAAUGUUACUGCAUUCAUUGGAAAUGGUGUGGUAAUUCAUUUACCUGGAUUGUUUGAGGAAGCAGACAAAAAUGUUCAAAAGGGAAAAGGUCUAGAAGGCUGGGAAAAAAGGCUUAUCAUAUCUGACAGAGCGCAUAUUGUAUUUGAUUUUCAUCAAGCAGCUGAUGGCAUCCAGGAGCAACAGAGACAAGAACAAGCAGGAAAAAAUUUGGGUACCACAAAAAAGGGCAUUGGCCCAGUUUAUUCUUCUAAAGCUGCUCGAAGUGGACUCCGGAUGUGUGAUCUUGUGUCUGAUUUUGAUGGCUUCUCUGAGAGGUUCAAAGUUCUGGCUAAUCAGUAUAAAUCAAUAUACCCCACUUUGGAAAUAGACAUUGAAGGUGAAUUACAAAAACUCAAGGGUUACAUGGAAAGGAUAAAACCAAUGGUGAAAGAUGGAGUUUAUUUCCUAUAUGAAGCCCUACAUGGACCACCAAAGAAAAUCUUGGUAGAAGGUGCAAAUGCAGCACUACUAGAUAUUGAUUUUGGAACAUAUCCUUUUGUAACCUCCUCAAACUGUACUGUUGGAGGUGUUUGCACUGGACUGGGUAUGCCUCCUCAAAAUGUUGGAGAAGUAUAUGGAGUUGUGAAAGCUUAUACGACGAGAGUUGGUAUUGGUGCCUUUCCUACAGAGCAGGAUAAUGAAAUUGGAGAAUUGUUACAAACAAGAGGUGGAGAGUUUGGUGUAACUACUGGAAGGAAAAGGAGGUGUGGCUGGCUCGAUCUUGUUUUGCUCAAAUACGCUCAUAUGAUUAAUGGAUUUACUGCGUUGGCACUUACCAAAUUGGAUAUUUUGGACAUGUUUACAGAAAUCAAAGUUGGAGUUGCUUACAAGUUAGAUGACAAAAUCAUACCUCAUUUCCCAGCAAACCAAGAAGUUUUAAAUAAAGUUGAAGUUCAGUAUAAGACUCUCCCAGGAUGGAAUACAGAUAUAUCAAAUGCCAGGACAUUUCAAGAACUACCUGUUAAUGCUCAAAAUUAUGUUCGGUUUAUUGAAGAUGAGCUAAAAAUUCCAGUUAAAUGGAUUGGUGUAGGUAAAUCCAGAGAGUCUAUGAUUCAACUCUUCUAAGGAUUUCCAUUGGCGCAAGCAAGAAACACUCCUUGAGAUGGGAAAAGGACUUUCUUAAAUGUUUCAUUUAUGAACUUCAAGUUUCAAGAAUAAAGACAUUGAAGUUUGGAAGCACAUGAAUAUCCAUGUUUUAUGAAACCUUUGAAAACAAUUAUAAGGAUGACUGGACAUGUUAGCAUAUGAACAUGUUUUCCAUAGUAUAGCACCAUGUGUAAGGAGUGGAGAGAGGAAGAAAAUUCACAACCCUGUGAGGAUAAAAUAUAAUCCACGUAAGAAGGAAAAUAAGAUUUGGGACACAUUUAUACACAGCAUCCAACCAUCUGUCUUCCUUACUUUACAGACUUCUGAUCUGAUUUUAUUUUUUAUUCUGUUUUUGUUUUUAUUUUUGUUUUAUUUUUAUUUUUAAGUGAUUUUCAUUUGAAUAAGUAUAUGACCCAGCAAUUUCACUUCUGAGUAUUUAUUAAAAAAAAAAUGAAAACACUGGCUCAACAUGAUAUGUACUACCAUGUUUAUUGCAGUGUUAUUUAAAAUUCCUAUUUAUAAUAGGAAUCAGUGUUCACUGAUGGAUGAAUGGAUUAAGAAAUUUGUGUGUGUGUGUGUGUGUAAACUGUUAACAACAAGUGGCCCUUGAGGGCAAUAUUCUAAGGGAAAUUAAUCAGACAAAGACAAAUACUGUAUGAUCUUACUUAUGUAUGUAAUCUUAAAAAAAAAAAAAAAACUAGCAACAAGAAGAACCUAUAGGUACAGUGAACAGAAAGAUGAUUGCCAGAGGUGGGAGUGGUUUAAAGGAAUACACUUCCAGUGAUGAAGAUAACUCAUGGAGAUACAAAUUACAGUAUAGCAACUAUAAUUAAUAAUGCUAUAUUGCAUAUUUAAAAGUUGGUAAGAGUAGAUUGUAAAAGUCAUCCCAAGAAAAAAAAUUUUAUAAGCACAUAUAGUGACAGAUACUAACUAGACUUAUGUCAAAUUAUACUGUACAUCUGAAGUCAAUAUGCUAUGUUAAUUAUACCUCAAUAAAAAUAAUAUAAUUUUAUGAUUUAGCAAAUUUAAAGAAUUGUGCAACCAUCACCAUAAUCCUGUUAGAAUUUCUACAUCAUUAGUGUCCAUUUGUAAUCACUCCCUACUCCCACCCCCAAUCUCAUUAAUUUGCUUUGUCUCAAUAGGAUUGCUUUUUCUGAAUAUUUCACAUAAGAAAAAUCUUGUGAUAUUUCAGAUGUGGUCCUUCGCAUCUGGCUUUCACUUAAUGUAAUAUUUUGAUGUCACUCUGUGUACUUCAUCUCUUUAUUGCUAAGUGGUUUUCCAUUAUAUAUUUGUACCACAUUCAUCUGUUCUUGAACACCUGGAUAAUUUUCAGUUCCCGGAGCUUAUGAAAAAUGCUGUUAUGAGCAUUUGUAUGUAAGUCUUUACAUGGAUAUAUCUUUUCAAAUCUCUUGGAUAAAUACCUCAAGGUAGGAUAUCUGGAUUAUAGUGCACAUUUAUAUUUAAUUUUUUAAAACAUCCAGAGUGACUAUCACUUUAAUAAAGCCAUGUGUAAGAGUUCCUGUUUCUCCAUAUCCUUAUCAAUACUUGUUAUUGGUCUUUGGUUGUAGG